UACAGAGGGUGCAAGCGUUGUCCGGAAUCACUGGGCGUAAAGGGCGCGUAGGCGGCCCGAUAAGUAGGGGGUGAAAUCUUGCGGCUCAACCGCAAGGCUGCCUUCUAGACUGUCGGGCUUGAGCACAGUAGAGGCAGGUGGAAUUCCCGGUGUAGCGGUGGAAUGCGUAGAGAUCGGGAAGAACAUCGGUGGCGAAGGCGGCCUGCUGGGCUAUUGCUGACGCUGAGGCGCGACAGCGUGGGGAGCAAACAGG
rnacentral:rRNA from 1 species